UCGAGCGUCAUUAUCAACCAUCAAGCUCUGCUUGGAAUUGGGCGUCGUCCGCACGGACGUGCCUUAAACGCCUCGGCGGCGGUUUCAAACCUCAAGCGUAGUAAAAUCUUUUAGCUUUCUAGGGUUGGAAUCGUUUUGCCUCGAGAACCUCUCACCUCAAGGUUGACCUCGGAUCAGGUAGGGAUACCCGCUGAACUUAA
rnacentral:misc_RNA from 1 species